rnacentral:rRNA from 1 species
UUUCGCAAUGCCCGAAAGGGUGACGAAGCGACGCCGCGUGUGGGAAGAAGGCCUUCGGGUUGUAAACCACUGUCGGGAGUUAGGAAAUGUAAGGGUGCUAAUAGUAUCCUUACUUGACUAAGGCUCCGGAGGAAGCCACGGCUAACUCUGUGCCGGCAGCCGCGGUAAUACAGAGGCGGCAAGCGUUGUUCGGAAUUAUUGGGCGUAAAGAGCACGUAGGCGGCCUUGUAAGUCAGUUGUGAAAGCCUUCUGCUUAACGGAAGAACAGCAGCUGAUACUGCAAGGCUAGAGUGCGGAAGGGGAGAGUGGAACUUCUGGUGGAGCGGAGAAAUGCGUAGAUAUCAGAAGGAACACCGGCGGCGAAGGCGACUCUCUGGUCCGUAAUUGACGCUGAGUGUGCGAAAGCUAGGGGAGCAAACGGGAUUAGAUACCCCGGUAGUCCUAGCCGUAAACGAUGGGCACUAAGUAGAGGGGUUUUA